UUUCUCAUGUAAGCAUCCCGGACCUCCCCCCUUCCCGAAGCAGACAGUGUUCCUCCCUAAAAAACUGAGCAAGAAAGGUUACAGAAGCGGAACGAUAAGCAAUGCUGGGUACACAAUCAGCAGGGCUGCUGCCUUGGACAUAGAGCACACAGUUGCUACAUUAUUACAGGAAGGGUGGUAUGAGGUGAGCAUAGCUGGAAAGGCCUGCGGCUGCCGUUUUAGCCAAGGGGGGUUGUUCUUUAGUUAAAACUCUUAUUUCAAUCUCAGGUUUUAGGGUAACGAGGUUAGCUUUCCCGGUCAUCUCUGGCCAAUCAUCUUGCUUGGCCCACAUUCGUCUGGUUCAAGGCCCUUCCUGACCAUGCGCACAACCUCGCCACUGAGACCAGUUCCAGCGCAAGGGCUUCUGGGACAUAUUAUGGGCUGGCGUCGCGUCUCCUCCCUCCUCAGACUCCUCCCAAAGCCUCUGGGCUAGUUUUCGGCGGCCGCGCUGUGUUCCUUACCGAGACCUCUCGUUGCGGAACAACUCGCAGAAGCGGUUAUUAUGGAGUCUGGCCCAUUCUGACCCAGUUGGGCGGUUUCUGUCAGCGGCUCCCUCACACAUCUGUACUUUCUCCUGAGAAAUGGACUCUGCUUCAGAGAGUGCACAUCAGAGAGAAACCUGAAGCAAAGCUUGACCAUCUGUCUGCCUACUUUUGCUUCUGUAGAGCCACGGACUAAGUACCUAGAGGUGAAACAGCACAUGCCAUCAAAAGAUUCAGUUUUUGGAAGUCAUCUCUGAUCUAUGUAAGUACAGAAUGACUUCUGCAAAGCGCUCUGUAUCUUGUUACCAUCUGGACCUAUUACCUCACCUAGUUAAAGCAGGCUAACAAGGCCAAGGUCAUGGAUUCAAACCCCAUAUGAUCCAGUUUACUUCGCACUGGGAAGAAAUUUCUUUUGUGGCCAUAGUCCUAAACUGCUAAUUCUGGUGGGUUCAUCUUGAAAAUGAGACCAUACUGGAGGACCUGGUGAGCAUUGAUUUGGAGCCAGGAUCUCAUUAUUAUUAUAGAAAACUUCAAAGCAUAUGUUCUAGGGCUGGACAGUCAGCAGGACUCCUAUCUCAAUGCACUCUUUAUAUUAAGCUUUAGAAUAGAUAGGAUAUGGACAGUUAUCUAUUUCACAGAUCUAAGGUCACACAGGAAAAUAAGAAUACAAAAUUCUGUCCAGUUUUCUAUGUCAUUCAGCCUCCCUAUUCAUUUUUCUUAAUCACAUCCCUAUCAAGUGGAUCUCUGUGGAGUUAAAAAUUUUAUAGAUGGAGAUUAAGGGACUGGUUCAAUGAAACCUAGUGAGAUGAGCUGCCACACGUAACUGGGAAGAGAGUAUUAGAUGCGUACAAUGUCUGAGGACUCUAAGACUCAGAAAUUUUGAGCAUCUUCUCCAUUUGGCUUUUGUAAUACUAAUCGAAUAUUUAUAGGAUGAUUUAAAAUGUAUAAACCAUUUCCAUAUCUUCCAUAUCAUUAGGUCCAUCCAACAUGAGAUUGGCUUGAGAACUGUUACUACAUUUUUCAGAUUAGACAAGUUAUGUAUAGAAAUAUUUCAUGACUUGCCCAAGGUCAUACAAUCUAUAAGGUCUUCGUACCCCGAUCCAAAGAUCUUUCCAUGAUGUCACACUGUAUUUUAUUUAUUGACUUGUGCCUAUGGAAAUACCUGAACAAAAAAUUUAUUGUAUUGUUGAAUCCAUUUCUAUUUUAUUUUUGAGUUGAUUUAGAGAGGGCAGAUUUCAUUACAACGUCUAUAGUCACAGGUAGUACCAAACCAGCUUUAUGAAACUUGACUAUGGCCUCAAAAAGAGAUCAACUAGAUGGUUCUGAAAAUCACUGAGUGCCCUUUCAGGGAGACCAUGUGACAUGGCAGCUGAUAAAGUUUCUGAAAUUAGAGACUUGCUUUCAAAUCCUGGGUCUGCUUUAGUUUAUUCUUCAAACCAUCUUACCCUACCUGAUUAGGAAAUAACCUUGGCAACAGUCUUUCUGAAAUGAAUUUGCCCAAUUGUGUAAUAGCCCUGCUCAGAACUGAAAUCCAAAGUAAAAAUUAUUAAAGGAAUUUCAAUUCAGAAUCCUGGGAGCAGGAGGAAGCACAAUGUUCUUAGUCUCUUUGUUCCCCUAAGACCAAUGUACCUCAAUUGUGUGACAUUUCUCUUUCAAUUAAAGCCAUGCCUUGUAGCCAAAAGUUCUCAUUUACAUUUUGCUGCUUUGCAAGCCCUAGCAUCAUCUUAUCAUAGUUUUUACAAUAUUGCAUAAUGCAUUAUGUCUUGAUGCAAUUUAAUGCCUCCUGCUGACUACUGAAAAUUACUAAGCAGAAGGUCAGACUAGAUCAGUGAACAGCUAUUAAAAUGCAUAGGCAGCAACACAAACAGUAGAUAAUUAGUACUCAGUGCAAGCCAAGGCCAUGAGAAAUGUGAAGAAAAAAAAUAAACAAGGUGUUUUUUCUUAAUUUUGUCA
ensembl:lncRNA